ACGAGAGGAACUGCUCAUUCACAUAAUUGGUCUUUGCGCCUGUCCGAUCGGGCAAUGGCGCGAAGCUAUCAUGUGCUAGAUUAUGGCUGAACGCCUCUAAGUCAGAAUCUGUGCUAGAAACGAUGAUGUUGGUCCCGCACAUGUUAGACGUGUUACAAUAGAGCUUUGCUCGUGAACCAUACCUGGCAGUCCUGGCCCGGCGAGCGGAAAUGCUUGUUGGGUCUUCUGCGAAUCGAAAUUUCAAUAUGGGCGGGGGUGAAUCCUUUGCAGACGACUUAAAUG
rnacentral:rRNA from 1 species